rnacentral:rRNA from 1 species
UACGUAGGUCCCGAACGUUGCGCGAAUUUACUGGGCGUAAAGGGUCCGUAGGCGGUUUAGCAAGUGGUUGGUGAAAUUUCACGGCUCAACCGUGAAACUGCCUUCCAAACUGCUAAACUUGAGGCAGGGAGAGGACGGCGGAAAUCCCGGUGUAGCGGUGAAAUGCGUAGAUAUCGGGAGGAACACCAGUGGCGAAGGCGGCCGACUGGAACUGUCCUGACGCUGACGGACGAAAGCUAGGGGAGCAAGCCGG